UCUGAUGACCACAGCAUGUCGGUACCACCCCUUCCCAUCCCGAACAGGACCGUGAAACGAUAAUGCGCCGAUGAUAGUGCUGCAACCAGUGUGAAAGUAGGUUAUCGUCAGAC
rnacentral:rRNA from 1 species